rnacentral:rRNA from 1 species
UACGUAGGGUGCAAGCGUUGUCCGGAAUUAUUGGGCGUAAAGAGCUCGUAGGCGGUCUGUCGCGUCGGAUGUGAAAACUCGAGGCUCAACCUCGGGCUUGCAGUGGAUACGGGCAGACUAGAGUGCGGUAGGGGAGACUGGAAUUCCUGGUGUAGCGGUGGAAUGCGCAGAUAUCAGGAGGAACACCGAUGGCGAAGGCAGGUCUCUGGGCCGCAACUGACGCUGAGGAGCGAAAGCAUGGGGAGCGAACAGG